GGUUAAGCGACUAAGCGUACACGGUGGAUGCCCUGGCAGUCAGAGGCGAUGAAGGACGUGCUAAUCUGCGAAAAGCGUCGGUAAGGUGAUAUGAACCGUUAUAGCCGGCGAUGUCCGAAUGGGGAAACCCAGUGCAAUUCGUUGCACUAUCGUUAACUGAAUACAUAGGUUAACGAGGCGAACCGGGGGAACUGAAACAUCUAAGUACCCCGAGGAAAAGAAAUCAACCGAGAUUCCCCCAGUAGCGGCGAGCGAACGGGGAGCAGCCCAGAGUCUGAAUCAGCUUGUGUGUUAGUGGAACGGUCUGGAAAGUCCGACGGUACAGGGUGAUAGUCCCGUACACCAAAAUGCACAGGCUGUGAACUCGAAGAGUAGGGCGGGACACGUGGUAUCCUGUCUGAAUAUGGGGGGACCAUCCUCCAAGGCUAAAUACUCCUGACUGACCGAUAGUGAACCAGUACCGUGAGGGAAAGGCGAAAAGAACCCCGGCGAGGGGAGUGAAAAAGAACCUGAAACCGUGUACGUACAAGCAGUGGGAGCACCUUCGGGUGUGACUGCGUACCUUUUGUAUAAUGGGUCAGCGACUUAUAUUCUGUAGCAAGGUUAACCGUAUAGGGGAGCCGCAGGGAAACCGAGUCUUAACUGGGCGUUAAGUUGCAGGGUAUAGACCCGAAACCCGGUGAUCUAGCCAUGGGCAGGUUGAAGGUUGGGUAACACUAACUGGAGGACCGAACCGACUAAUGUUGAAAAAUUAGCGGAUGACUUGUGGCUGGGGGUGAAAGGCCAAUCAAACCGGGAGAUAGCUGGUUCUCCCCGAAAGCUAUUUAGGUAGCGCCUCGUGAACUCAUCUUCGGGGGUAGAGCACUGUUUCGGCUAGGGGGUCAUCCCGACUUACCAACCCGAUGCAAACUACGAAUACCGAAGAAUGUUAUCACGGGAGACACACGGCGGGUGCUAACGUCCGUCGUGAAGAGGGAAACAACCCAGACCGCCAGCUAAGGUCCCAAAGUCAUGGUUAAGUGGGAAACGAUGUGGGAAGGCACAGACAGCCAGGAUGUUGGCUUAGAAGCAGCCAUCAUUUAAAGAAAGCGUAAUAGCUCACUGGUCGAGUCGGCCUGCGCGGAAGAUGUAACGGGGCUAAACCAUGCACCGAAGCUGCGGCAGCGACACUAUGUGUUGUUGGGUAGGGGAGCGUUCUGUAAGCCUGCGAAGGUGUGCUGUGAGGCAUGCUGGAGGUAUCAGAAGUGCGAAUGCUGACAUAAGUAACGAUAAAGCGGGUGAAAAGCCCGCUCGCCGGAAGACCAAGGGUUCCUGUCCAACGUUAAUCGGGGCAGGGUGAGUCGACCCCUAAGGCGAGGCCGAAAGGCGUAGUCGAUGGGAAACAGGUUAAUAUUCCUGUACUUGGUGUUACUGCGAAGGGGGGACGGAGAAGGCUAUGUUAGCCGGGCGACGGUUGUCCCGGUUUAAGCAUGUAGGCUGGUUGUCCAGGCAAAUCCGGAUAAUCAAGGCUGAGGUGUGAUGACGAGGCACUACGGUGCUGAAGUAACAAAUGCCCUGCUUCCAGGAAAAGCCUCUAAGCAUCAGGUAACAUCAAAUCGUACCCCAAACCGACACAGGUGGUCAGGUAGAGAAUACCAAGGCGCUUGAGAGAACUCGGGUGAAGGAACUAGGCAAAAUGGUGCCGUAACUUCGGGAGAAGGCACGCUGGUGUGUAGGUGAAGUCCCUGCGGAUGGAGCUGAGACCAGUCGAAGAUACCAGCUGGCUGCAACUGUUUAUUAAAAACACAGCACUGUGCAAACACGAAAGUGGACGUAUACGGUGUGACGCCUGCCCGGUGCCGGAAGGUUAAUUGAUGGGGUUAUCCGUAAGGAGAAGCUCUUGAUCGAAGCCCCGGUAAACGGCGGCCGUAACUAUAACGGUCCUAAGGUAGCGAAAUUCCUUGUCGGGUAAGUUCCGACCUGCACGAAUGGCGUAAUGAUGGCCAGGCUGUCUCCACCCGAGACUCAGUGAAAUUGAACUCGCUGUGAAGAUGCAGUGUACCCGCGGCAAGACGGAAAGACCCCGUGAACCUUUACUAUAGCUUGACACUGAACAUUGAGCCUUGAUGUGUAGGAUAGGUGGGAGGCUUUGAAGCGUGGACGCCAGUCUGCGUGGAGCCAACCUUGAAAUACCACCCUUUAAUGUUUGAUGUUCUAACGUUGGCCCCUUACCGGGGUUGCGGACAGUGUCUGGUGGGUAGUUUGACUGGGGCGGUCUCCUCCCAAAGCGUAACGGAGGAGCACGAAGGUUAGCUAAUCCUGGUCGGACAUCAGGAGGUUAGUGCAAUGGCAUAAGCUAGCUUGACUGCGAGCGUGACGGCGCGAGCAGGUGCGAAAGCAGGUCAUAGUGAUCCGGUGGUUCUGAAUGGAAGGGCCAUCGCUCAACGGAUAAAAGGUACUCCGGGGAUAACAGGCUGAUACCGCCCAAGAGUUCAUAUCGACGGCGGUGUUUGGCACCUCGAUGUCGGCUCAUCACAUCCUGGGGCUGAAGUAGGUCCCAAGGGUAUGGCUGUUCGCCAUUUAAAGUGGUACGCGAGCUGGGUUUAGAACGUCGUGAGACAGUUCGGUCCCUAUCUGCCGUGGGCGCUGGAGAAUUGAGGGGGGCUGCUCCUAGUACGAGAGGACCGGAGUGGACGCAUCACUGGUGUUCGGGUUGUCAUGCCAAUGGCACUGCCCGGUAGCUAAAUGCGGAAGAGAUAAGUGCUGAAAGCAUCUAAGCACGAAACUUGCCCCGAGAUGAGUUCUCCCUGAGACUUUAAGUCUCCUGAAGGAACGUUAAAGACGAUGACGUUGAUAGGCCGGGUGUGUAAGCGCAGCGAUGCGUUGAGCUAACCGGUACUAAUGAACCGUGAGGCUUAACCUU
rnacentral:rRNA from 1 species